UACGGGGGGGGCAAGCGUUGUUCGGAAUUACUGGGCGUAAAGGGCUCGUAGGCGGCCAACUAAGUCAGACGUGAAAUCCCUCGGCUUAACCGGGGAACUGCGUCUGAUACUGGAUGGCUUGAGAUUGGGAGAGGGAUGCGGAAUUCCAGGUGUAGCGGUGAAAUGCGUAGAUAUCUGGAGGAACACCGGUGGCGAAGGCGGCAUCCUGGACCGGCAUUGACGCUGAGACGCGAAAGCGUGGGGAGCAAACAGG
rnacentral:rRNA from 1 species